rnacentral:rRNA from 1 species
AGAAUCAACGCUGGCGGCGUGCCUAACACAUGCAAGUCGAACGAGAAAGUGGUASCAAUACCAUGAGUAAAGUGGCGCACGGGUGAGUAACACGUGACUAACCUACCCUUGAGUGGGGGAUAACUGAGGGAAACCUUAGCUAAUACCGCAUAAUACCCACGGGUCAAAGGAGCAAUUCGCUCGAGGAGGGGGUCGCGGCCGAUUAGUUAGUUGGCGGGGUAACGGCCCACCAAGACGAUGAUCGGUAUCCGGCCUGAGAGGGCGCACGGACACACUGGAACUGAAACACGGUCCAGACUCCUACGGGAGGCAGCAGUGGGGAAUUUUGCGCAAUGGGGGAAACCCUGACGCAGCAACGCCGCGUGGAGGAUGAAGUCCUUCGGGACGUAAACUCCUUUCGAUCGGGACGAUUAUGACGGUACCGGAAGAAGAAGCCCCGGCUAACUUCGUGCCAGCAGCCGCGGUAAUACGAGGGGGGCGAGCGUUGUUCGGAAUUAUUGGGCGUAAAGGGUGCGUAGGCGGUUUUGUAAGUCUUAUGUGAAAUCUAUGGGCUCAACUCAUAGACUGCAUGAGAAACUGCAGGGCUAGAGUAUGGGAGAGGUGAGUGGAAUUCCCGGUGUAGCGGUGAAAUGCGUAGAUAUCGGGAGGAACACCUGUGGCGAAAGCGGCUCACUGGACCAUAACUGACGCUGAUGCACGAAAGCUAGGGGAGCAAACAGGAUUAGAUACCCUGGUAGUCCUAGCCCUAAACCAUGAUUGCUUGGUGUGACGGGUACCCAAUCCCGCCGUGCCGGAGCUAACGCGUUAAGCAAUCCGCCUGGGGAGUACGGUCGCAAGGCUG